CUCUGCAACGCUACAAGCUGACAAUGGAUGCCUUGGGUAUUCAUGCCGAGGAAGGACGCAUAUGGCGGCGAUACUCGUCGGGGAGGAGCCAUACUCCAUUUAUCCGGCGGUUUCCGAAUCGAGAAAUCGACCCCGAUCAUAUCGGGGGAGUCCAUCGUAAAGGCAAUCGAAAGAUUGACAUAGCGAUGGGCAGGGCACCAUCUGAACUGAAACAUCUCAGUAAGGUGAGGAAAAGAAAUCAAAAGAGAUUCCGUAAGUAGCGGCGAGCGAAAGCGGAACAGCCCAAACUCUGGCGCAAGCCAGGGGGUUGUGGGGCAGAAGACAUGGGAGUGUCGCGGAUAGGAGAAUGCCUUGGAAUAGGCAGUCAAAGAAAGUGAAAACCUUGUAUCCGAAAUCCAAAACACCUCUAUUCUGUUCCCGAGUACCAUGAGACACGAAGGUCUUGUGGGAAGCUGGGGGAACCAUCCUCCAAGGCUACAUACAUGAAUACACCGAUAGUGAACAAGUACCGUGAGGGAAAGGUGAAAAGCACCCCGGAAGGGGAAUGAAAUAGUACCUGAAAUUGUCAGCUAACAAACAGCGAGAGUCCCGUAAGGGGUAAUCGCGUGCCUAUUGAAGAAUGAUCCGGUGAGUUGUCGAUAUCUGCAAGUCUAAGCACGUAACCGUGUGGAGGCGUAGUGAAAGCGAGCCUUAAUUGGGCGACCAAAGCAGAUGUCGUCAGACCCGAAACCGAGUGAGCUAACCAUGGACAGGGUGAAGUCCUGCGAAAGUGGGAUGGAGGCCCGAACCCUUCAGAGUUUCAAAUCUGUGGGACGAUCUGUGGUUAGGGGUUAUAUGCCUAUCGAACUCGGAGAUAGCUGGUUCUCCCCGAAAUAUAUUUUGGUAUAGCGGUCGAUCGUCCAACGUAGUGGUAGAGCACUGAAUGAUGCUGGUAUCGCAAGGUAUCUGCCUCAAUCAAACUCCGAAUACUGUCGUUGGUACUCGGCCAGUCAGACAUGCGGGGCUAAGCUCGUGUGUCAAAAGGGAAACAGCCCAGAUUCUCAUCUAAGGUCUCUAAUUUCUCCUCAGUGGUUAAGGAAGUCAUGGUUUUUAGACACCCAGGAAGUUGGCUUAGAAGCAGCCAUCUUUUAAAGAACGCGUAACAGCGCACUGGAUGAAAACCGUGGCGCCGAAAAUGAUCGAGGCUCAAGGAGAAAACCGAAGAUAGAACUCUCGUCCUUUGGACGAGGUGGGUAGGGGAGCGUUCUGUUUGCAGUGAAGGCCAGGCUGUAAGGCUAGCUGGAGCGGACAGAAGUGAGAAUGCCGGAAUGAGUAGCGUUUGGAAGUGAGAAUCUUCCAUGCCGAAUGCGCAAGGUUUCCGAAGCAACGUUCGUCGACUUCGGGUAAGUCGGAACUAAGGCGAGUCGUCCAUUGGACGAGUAGCUCGAUGUAUAAACGGUUGAUAUUCCGUUACAAGGACGUGUCGAUUAAGACUCAAAGGAAUGACAAAGGGGGAUGUGUCUGUGGGUCGCAAGGCCUUUAAGCUUUGAAAUAGUGAUAACUGGCAAAUCCGUUAUUGCGUUUAAUAAAGAAGCAAUGGGGAGUCCAAGUCGCAAGGCAAGGACAACACAGAUAGUUUCGCUUUCAAGAAAAAUUUCGUUGAGGAGCACGUGCUUUCCGUACCGCAAACCGACACAGGUGCGCCGGUGGUAGACCACCAAGGCAAGCGGGCGACAGUGGUUCAAGGAACUCGGCAACAAAAGCUGGGCGUAACCUAUGGGAGAUGCCCUAAGUUAAAAAAGGUAUAUGACUCUCGCAAGGGAGAAGUUAGCUUUUUAAGCUCCGGUGAACGGCAGCAGUAACUAUAACUGUUCUAUGGUAGACCCAAGUGGGUCCGCUGCCAUAGUGAGGUAUUCAAACCUCCGUACGGCCGAGUAGAACAAGACGUACGCAAACUUGACUAUAUGCUGGAAACUCCUGUAUUCUGGAUCUACUAUGGUAAAAAUAACACAUAGUGACAACGAUACCAGUAGGGACAAUCAGCAGGAAAGACUAGAUCCAUGGUGGAUUGUAGGAUUUGUGGAUGGUGAAGGGUGUUUUUCCGUCAGCACGUUCAAAAACUCAACUUGUAAAAGUGGGUAUCAGACUCUUUUUGAGUUUGUCGUCACACAAGGAGAGAAGAGUAGACGUGCUAUGGAAGCAAUAAAAACAUAUUUCGGUUGUGGAGCAAUCUAUAUAAACCGGCGAUAUGAUAAUCACCAUUACAAUCUUUUGCGGUAUUGUGUACGAAGACAAGAUGAUCUUAAAAAUAAGAUCGUCCCAUUCUUCAGAAAAUAUCCGUUACAAUCAUCUAAACGCGACCAAUUUGAAACAUUUUGCGAACGUUUAAAGGUCUAGAAUCCUCAGAGACUAUACGUCAGGAUCCCGCGUUAAGCGGGAUAAGAUAUAGUCCAAACUUCAUAUAUUUUGAAGGUUUUGAGCGAAGUUCCUUGUCGGGCAAGCGAGGUCGAGCAAACCCGACAUAAAAAACUGGCUUAUAUCGGUGGAGUCCCGCCUUUGGCGGGAUAACAGCGAGGGAAGCCUCGACGUAGUGUCGAGAGCCCCGUAACGACUGAGUCUAACUCCGAUUGAUUAUCGGAGCCAGGACGAGAGGUAUAUACUUGUUGUAUAUGCCUAAGACGCCAGCACAAAAUCAAGACAUCGGUUUGUAUCUAUCAGGAUAUGCCGAUGGUGAGGGAAGCUUUUGUGUUUCGUUUUCUCCAAGACCUAAACUAAAAGUUCAUAUUGAAGUGCGACCGAGCUUCUCGGUGAGCCAAAAUGGCGACAGACGGGAAGUAUUGGAUCUUUUCGCGAUGUACUUCCACUGUGGAACAGUGCGAAGAAAUCCAUCGGAUAAAACAUAUAAAUAUGAAUUGAGAAGCUUAGACAAUCUGGUUGAGAAAAUUAUUCCGCAUUUUGAGCACUAUCCACUGCUUUCAUCAAAGCAGAAGGAUUUUAAUAAAUUUAAGCUCAUAUGUGGAUGGAUGAAGAAGAAAAAGCAUAUUGAAAAAUCAACACUCGUUGACAUUGUCAAUAUUGCGUGCUCUAUGAAUUCAUCCGGAACACGAAAAUAUAGUAAGGAACACCUUCUUCGUUUGAUCGCGUGAAGAUAUAGUCUAAUUUUGAGAAUUUCAGAAUUGAAGUUCCGACCCGCACGAAAGGUAGAACGACUUAGUGACUGUCUUGAACCAUUACCCGGCGAAAUUGAAAUGGCUGUGAAGAUGCGGCCUACUUGCACUUGGACAAAAAGACCCCGUGGAGCUUUACUGUA
rnacentral:ncRNA from 1 species